GGGGCUCAGCUUCCUUCCCUCGGGAGAGGUCGAAGGACCCUCCUAGGGCUGGGGAAAUGCUUUCUCAGCGGGUGGUAGGGCAGCUGCGUCAGCACCACGUGGGCACUGGUUAGAAAAGCACAUUCUUGGGCCUUCUCAGAAGCUCUGGAGCAAGGCGCUGGAAUCUGUGUUUGGCACCGCAGAGAAAGGAGGUGACUCUGCCACCGUCGGAAGCUGCCCUAGAACCAGGGUUCCCAGAUCCUUGGUCCCCUCCACCCACUGGACACUGGGCUACAGCAAAGAAGCCACGGGCCACGCCUCCUGUGAUGAGGAUGCUGGGAGUAGGCUGGAUCUGAAUGCAGCUUGGACAGAGGUCUCCCUGUGUCUCUCAGACACUGCAGUCCAGGUGUGGCAGUGGCUGCAGACGUUGCCAGGGUCCAGGCUCACUCAGCAGCCGUGGGUUAGAUUCAGCUCCUCACCGGCUGAUGGACCAAGGGCCUCAGUUCCCUGCCCUGUGACCUCUCCAUAGGGCAGUUCAUGGCAGGGCAGCCAGCUUUGUGGACUAAGCAAGGGAGAAAAGCUGGAGGGAACAAGAUGGAAGUCUUGGUCCUAUAGAACCUAACGUCAAGAGCAACGUCCAUCACGCUUGCUGUGUUCUGUGGGUCAGAACCAGUCACCAGACCCAGCCCAGCAUCAGGGGGUGGGGAACACCCGGAGCUUAGAACCCCAGGAGGCGGGGACUCUUAGGGUCACAUUAGAAGGCUGCUGACCACAGUAGUGACCCCAAAGGCUUUGUUGGGUUUUGGGGGUUUUUGUUUGUUUGUUUGUUUUGUGUUUUUUUGGCCAUGUCCAUGACAUGUGGACAUUCCUGGGCCAGCUAUCAAACAGGAGCCGCAGCAGUGACAAUGCCAAGUCCUUAACCAUUGGGCCACCAGGGAACUCCAAGAAAGGCUUCUUUUUAAUGUUCAGUCCUGUGCCACUCAGAUCGUCUCCCACAUCAACUUCCUCACCUGGUUCUCACCCCACCCUUGGGGACGAGACAGCUGUGACUGUCCCCAAGGCCAGAGGGGCUCCGUGACUUUCCUCCCAAAGUUGCAUCACUAAUAGGCUGAAGGACUGUCAGCCAAGCCCGGAGCAUAGGACCCGCUGUGGGGGCAGGGAUGCAGGCUGCAGAGUCAGGCUGCCCAGGAGGACAGGCCACAACAGGACAGGCCUGGGGAGGGGCCAGGCUGGGCCUUGCCAGGGGCUUGGGCUACCCUCAAAGACACAAAGCGACACUUUGCUCCUGCACAUGAGACCGGCUCCGAGGAAUCAGUGGGGCGGCCAGAGACACUGGUUUGCCAAGCAGACGAGAAAGAGCAUCCUUGGCACGAACUCAGUUCCCUGCCCUGCCCCCAGCCAAGAAAGCAGACCUGAGAUUCCUCAGGGGCCAGCGUCCACCUGUCCCCUGCCACCCCUCCCCCCACACACCAGACGUGAACAAGGAAUCCACCCACCGCCCCCAGGCGCGUCUCCAGCAUUGCUCUCCUUGCCCAGGACCCUCGGAGCCUGCAGUGGAGGAAGGCGUCCUCUUGGUGGGGACACUGGCUUUGGCUCGGCCUGCGUGGCCUUCAUGCCGUACCAGGGUCACUGUCGCAGGAUGCUGCAAACUUGGCUUGAAUGUCAGAAAUGCCCCCUUGGCUCCUGAAAGGUCCCCCAGCCAACCACCUUUGUGUCUCGAUCCCGAAGAGUGUUAGAGAGAAGUAACGGAGCCUCCCCGGGAGAUGCGCUGGAGCAUCAAGGAGACCCCAGAGGGGCCCAAACAUCCUCCCAGCCUGGGCCCCUGACCCUCAGAAGUCGGACACCCCGGGCCUGUUCCUGACACUGCUUGGCGGCGUCCAUUUCCUUCCUGGAUGCGUCAGGCCAACCCCCCUCCGUGGGGCUGGGUCUCCUCUGUCACCUGCAGGAGCAGCAAACAUGUGCCUGUGGGUUAUGUGCCCAUAAAGCCAACAUAGCUUUAUGGUUUAAUUCCUUCAUUCACCCAUUCAUCCAUACAUCUAUUGAGCACCUACUGCAUACAAGGAACUGUCCCAAAUGCUAUUGAAUCAUACAAAAGGUCCUCCUUGUCACAGUUUCAAAGGAUUUCUAAACGCCCAUGGAAACAUUUUUAAAAAUCACCCACCUCGAUGUUCCCUGGAGGCUUAGUAGAUUAAGGACCCGGCAUUGUCACUGUUGUGACUUGGCGCAGGUUCGAUCCCUGGCCAGAGAACUUCUGCAUGACACAGAUGCAACCCCCCCCCCCCCCAAAAAAAAGAAAUAACUGCACUAUUACAUUUAGAAUGGAUAAGCAUUGAGAACAGUUUCCUGCUCAGGGAACUUUAUCCAAUCGCUUGCGAAAAUAGACUGUGAUAGAAAAUCA
rnacentral:lncRNA from 1 species